UUUGAGAAAGAAGCAGUGUAGCAAUCCAACUAGGGCUCGGUAGUGUUAUUAUCAAUGAUUUAUUUGAAGAUGCAAACUAUGAAGUAAAAAAAUAAAGGCAACCAUCUCUAGCAGCAUUCUUGCAUAGUAAGUAGUUCAUGCGACUAAGCAACUAUUCUAUCAUAACAAAGACUGUUUAAUACCUAAAUUGACAUCUUACUUGUCCCGGUCUGCAAAGACGGCCCGCGACUCCCUGUUUCCCAUUUAAAGACCUCUUGGUAAAAAAAACACAUAU
rnacentral:lncRNA from 1 species